rnacentral:lncRNA from 1 species
UCAUUUUCCAUUUUAUUAAUUUUAGUCUUCUAUCUCAAUAUUUCAUAUCAAGCCUAACACAACAAUUCACAUUUUCGUUAUAUACUCACCUUGACAUUUCCUCAUUCAAUAAACAAUGUAUAUGCAAACAAAUAAUACGACCCCGAAUCAUAAAAGUACAAAUUGUAGGCUUGCGUCACUCGUCGACAACUCUCGCUUUUCCUUUUCCUUUCGAAGGCUCAGUGCCGACGUUAGCUACGCACAAUCACAAAACUGUUCACCAGAGUUAACCUCUCAAUGUAUAUAAAAUGCUAGAUUCAAGUGUGCAAGAGUUCAUUACACAAUAUUAAGAGCUAAAAUGUUUCAAGUGUUUGAGAUUUCUAUCUAUGAUAGAUUAUGUCUGCUUAACAUCCUAUCCUGCCUUAAAAUCUAAAACUGUUGAUAAUCAGUAGAGGAAAUCAUUGCCGUAUUACCUGAAUUAGUGGCUGAAAAGUGUUGAGAGAUUAGAACUGAAAAUGAAGCAGUGAAGUUGACUUCCUUGAUAGGCCUUGGAGAUCAAAAGAAAUUAAAAACAGUGAAGAAGAAAGAAUGUUGUGGGUACAAUAGCCAAAAAGAAGAAGAAGAAAGUGAAAAUAGAAAUAAGCAAAAGUGUAAUAGGUUCCACAAAGGCAGAAUUCUGAUUAAGA